rnacentral:rRNA from 1 species
GGUGCUCGAGUGGCGAACGGGUGAGUAACACGUGAGUAACCUGCCCUUGACUUUGGGAUAACUUCAGGAAACUGGGGCUAAUACCGGAUAGGAGCUCCUGCUGCAUGGUGGGGGUUGGAAAGUUUCGGCGGUUGGGGAUGGACUCGCGGCUUAUCAGCUUGUUGGUGGGGUAGUGGCUUACCAAGGCUUUGACGGGUAGCCGGCCUGAGAAGGUGACCGGCCACAUUGGGACUGAGGUACGGCCCAG